UACGAAGGGUGCAAGCGUUGUUCGGAUUUACUGGGCGUAAAGCGCGCGCAGGCGGAUUGAUAAGUCAGAUGUGAAAUCUCGGGGCUCAACCCCGAAACUGCGUCUGAAACUGUUGAUCUAGAGUUAUGUAGGGGAGAAGGGAAUUUCGCAUGUAGGGGUAAAAUCCGUAGAGAUGCGAAGGAACACCAGAGCCGAAGGGGCUUCUCUGGGCAUACACUGACGCUGAGGCGCGAAAGCGUGGGUAGCAAACAGG
rnacentral:rRNA from 1 species